CCGCUCUUUAGAGCCAAGUUGUGUGACACCUGAGAAAAUUCCCUUCACCUUCUUUUUGGACCCAAAGUGGUGCGGCCGUGUGGGAACAUCUGCCUCGUGGCCGUGGAUCAAAUGUUAGCCAAUUUUUUAAAAAAAUCAAUCUAGCCCUCAGGCUAUCCCCAGGAAUGGCUGCAGGUUCACAGGUUCUGAAGGUUGUUUCCGACAAGAUGCUCCACCUACAGUUUCUGCAGAAAACCAAGGACUCCCCUUCCUAGGCUCCCCCAUCUUCCUGCACCAGUCUGGACCGGUUGCUCGUUAGGCCUGCUGCACAGUUGUCAUUCUGAAACUCCAGACCACUCUUCCGGACCGGCCCUGAAUUAACUACUGCCAGUCCUCCUCUUUUUGCUGAGGAAGGCUGGCCCUGAGCUAACAUCCAUGCCCAUCCUCCUCUACUUUAUGUGUGGAACACCUACCACAGCAUGGCUUUUGCCAAGCAGAGCUAUGUCCGCACCGGGAUCUGAACUGGUGAACCCCGGGCCUCCAAG
rnacentral:lncRNA from 1 species